CUGGGUUUAGAACGUCGUGAGACAGUUCGGUCCCUAUCUGCCGUGGGCGCUGGAGAACUGAGGGGGGCUGCUCCUAGUACGAGAGGACCGGAGUGGACGCAUCACUGGUGUUCGGGUUGUCAUGCCAAUGGCACUGCCCGGUAGCUAAAUGCGGAAGAGAUAAGUGCUGAAAGCAUCUAAGCACGAAACUUGCCCCGAGAUGAGUUCUCCCUGAGACUUUAGAGUCUCCUGAAGGAACGUUGAAGACGACGACGUUGAUAGGCCGGGUGUGUAAGCGCAGCGAUGCGUUGAGCUAACCGGUACUAAUGAACCGUGAGGCUUAACCUUAC
rnacentral:rRNA from 1 species